rnacentral:misc_RNA from 1 species
GAAAUGCGAUAAGUAGUGUGAAUUGCAGAAUGCAGUGAAUCAUCGAAUCUUUGAACUCACAUUGCGCCCCUUGGUAUUCCAUGGGGCAUGCCUGUUCGAGCGUCAUUUGUACCCUCAAGCUCUGCUUGGUGUUGGGUGUUUGUCCCCGUCUCCGCGCGUGGACUCGCCCCAAAGUGAUUGGCAGCCGGCGUACUGGUCCCGGAGCGCAGCACAUGUCGCGCAAACGAGUGCCUUGGUACGGCGGCGUCCAUAAGCCCCUCUCUCACGCUCUUGACCUCGGAUCAGGUAGGGAUACCCGCUGAACUUAAGC